rnacentral:rRNA from 1 species
UACGUAGGGGGCAAGCGUUGUCCGGAAUCAUUGGGCGUAAAGCGCGCGUAGGCGGCCCGGUAAGUCUGCUGUGAAAGUCAAGGGCUCAACCCUUGGAUGCCGGUGGAUACUGCGAGGCUAGAGUCCGGAAGAGGCGAGUGGAACUCCUGGUGUAGCGGUGGAAUGCGCAGAUAUCAGGAAGAACACCAACGGCGAAGGCAGCUCGCUGGGACGGUACUGACGCUGAGGCGCGAAAGCGUGGGGAGCGAACAGG